rnacentral:rRNA from 1 species
AUACGAAGGUCCCAAGCGUUGUUCGGAUUUACUGGGCGUAAAGCGUGCGUAGGCGGCGAGGUAAGUCAGAUGUGAAAUCCCGGGGCUCAACCCCGGAACUGCAUCCGAUACUGCCCUGCUAGAGUAAUGGAGGGGCAUCUGGAAUUCAUGGUGUAGCAGUGAAAUGCGUAGAUAUCAUGAGGAACACUAGUGGCGAAGGCGAGAUGCUGGACAUUUACUGACGCUGAGGUACGAAGGCCAGGGUAGCGAAAAGGAUUAGAUACCCUAGUAGUCC